UGGUAUUGAAGGAACUAGAUUCUGUUCUGAAAUAUCACUUACUCGAACCGUCCUGACCGCGUAGCUCAGUUGGAAGAGCAUUGGGCUAGUAUUCCAAGGUUCGUAGGUUCGAAUCCCACCGUGGCCGGGCAUAUUUUUCAAGCUCGCCCGGUGUGGAUAUGCACUCAGAGUAUAACACCACAAAUAUCAUAUUCACCUGAGUACACUACACCAACACAGAAAAAAUUCAUAUUACUAGAAUACAUUUGUAUUGAAGGAACUAGAUUCUGUUCUGAAAUAUCACUUACUCGAAC